CCUACGGGUGGCUGCAGUCGAGAAUCUUCGGCAAUGGACGAAAGUCUGACCGAGCGACGCCGCGUGCGGGAUGAAGGCCCUCGGGUUGUAAACCGCUGUCAGAGGGGAUGAAAUGCGCAUGGGUUCUCCCAUACGCUUGACAGAGCCUCAGAGGAAGCACGGGCUAAGUACGUGCCAGCAGCCGCGGUGAUACGUACUGUGCGAACGUUAUUCGGAAUUACUGGGCUUAAAGGGUGUGUAGGCGGCUGAUUAAGUAGGGUGUGAAAGGCUCCGGCCUAACCGGAGCAUUGCGCUCUAAACUGAUCGGCUUGAGUGAGAUAGGGGUGUGCGGAACUUCCAGUGGAGCGGUGAAAUGUGUUGAUAUUGGAAGGAACGCCGGUGGCGAAAGCGGCACACUGGGUCUUAACUGACGCUGAGACACGAAAGCCAGGGGAGCGAAC
rnacentral:rRNA from 1 species